AUUGAACGCUGGCGGCAGGCCUAACACAUGCAAGUCGAGCGGAUGAAGGGAGCUUGCUCCUGGAUUCAGCGGCGGACGGGUGAGUAAUGCCUAGGAAUCUGCCUGGUAGUGGGGGAUAACGUCCGGAAACGGGCGCUAAUACCGCAUACGUUCUGAGGGAGAAAGUGGGGGAUCUUCGGACCUCACGCUAUCAGAUGAGCCUAGGUCGGAUUAGCUAGUUGGUGGGGUAAAGGCCUACCAAGGCGACGAUCCGUAACUGGUCUGAGAGGAUGAUCAGUCACACUGGAACUGAGACACGGUCCAGACUCCUACGGGAGGCAGCAGUAGGGAAUAUUGGACAAUGGGCGAAAGCCUGAUCCAGCCAUGCCGCGUGUGUGAAGAAGGUCUUCGGAUUGUAAAGCACUUUAAGUUGGGAAGAAGAGCAGUAAGUUAAUACCUUGCUGUUUUGACGGUACCAACAGAAUAAGCACCGGCUAACUUCGUG
rnacentral:rRNA from 1 species